ACAUCCAAAGAUAGAAAGAUGUAAGGUCUAGAGUCUUGUUCUUAAUCCCCUAACAGAACAAUGAUAUAUAUAAAUAAAUAUGGGUCGAUAUCGGCUGUGGAGGACGACUAGCUACGGUUUCGAGCCUGGUCACAUGCGUAGAGUG
rnacentral:misc_RNA from 1 species